rnacentral:rRNA from 1 species
AGUGAACGCUGGCGGUAGGCCUAACACAUGCAAGUCGAGCGGCAGCACAGUAAGAGCUUGCUCUUACGGGUGGCGAGUGGCGGACGGGUGAGGAAUACAUCGGAAUCUACUUUUUCGUGGGGGAUAACGUAGGGAAACUUACGCUAAUACCGCAUACGACCUACGGGUGAAAGCAGGGGAUCUUCGGACCUUGCGCGAUUGAAUGAGCCGAUGUCGGAUUAGCUAGUUGGCGGGGUAAAGGCCCACCAAGGCGACGAUCCGUAGCUGGUCUGAGAGGAUGAUCAGCCACACUGGAACUGAGACACGGUCCAGACUCCUACGGGAGGCAGCAGUGGGGAAUAUUGGACAAUGGGCGCAAGCCUGAUCCAGCCAUACCGCGUGGGUGAAGAAGGCCUUCGGGUUGUAAAGCCUUUUUGUUGGGAAAGAAAAGCAGCAGGUUAAUACCCCGCUGUUCUGACGGUACCCAAAGAAUAAGCACCGGCUAACUUCGUG